AUUUAUGUAGUUUACUUAAAACUUUACAUUUUCACUGUAAGAAUAGGUUAUUUUUACCUCUUAAAUG
rnacentral:tRNA from 1 species